rnacentral:rRNA from 1 species
GACAGAGGGUGCAAGCGUUGUUCGGAAUUACUGGGCGUAAAGGGCGCGUAGGCGGUAGUGUAAGUCGGAUGUGAAAUCCCUGGUUUCAAGCCAGGAACUGCAUCCGAAACUGCAUCACUUGAAUCUCGGAGAGGGAAGCGGAAUUCCAGGUGUAGAGGUGAAAUUCGUAGAUAUCUGGAGGAACACCCGUGGCGAAGGCGGCUUCCUGGACGAAGAUUGACGCUGAGGCGCGAAAGCGUGGGGAGCAAACAGG